rnacentral:rRNA from 1 species
AGGGCGUAUGGGGAAUGCCUAGGCACACUCCGGCGAAGAAGGACGCAGCAAACAGCGAAAUGCGACGGUGAGCGGUAAGCACGUGAAGAGCCGUCGAUAUCCGAAUGGGGGAACCCACACGGAGUCAUAUCCGUGUAUCACAUGUCGAAUACAUAGACAUGAUGAGGCGAGACGCAGGGAACUGAAACAUCUAAGUACCUGCAGGAAGAGAAAAUAAGAAUGAUUUUCUGAGUAGCGGCGAGCGAAAGGGAAAGAGCCCAAACCGAUCUGAGGAUCGGGGUAGUAGGAUCAUCGAUAAAUCAAACAGAGGAUCAUAGAGGAAUCACAUGGGAAGGUGAGCGAGAGAGGGUGAGAGCCCCGUACUCGAAAUGAGAGACUGGAGAGAGAUGACACCUGAGUAGGGCGGGACACGAGAAAUCCUGUCUGAAUCAGCCGGGACCAUCCGGCAAGGCUAAAUACGAGAGAGUGACCGAUAGUGAACCAGUACCGUGAGGGAAAGGUGAAAAGAACCCCGGGAGGGGAGUGAAAGAGAACCUGAAACCAUAUGCCUACAAGAAGUCAGAGCCCGUUAAAGGGUGAUGGCGUGCCUUUUGUAGAAUGAACCGGCGAGUUACUGUAUGGAGCGAGGUUAAGCAGGAUAUGCGGAGCCGAAGCGAAAGCGAGUCUUAAGAGGGCGCGAGUUGCAUGCAGUAGACCCGAAACCGGGUGAUCUAGCCAUGACCAGGUUGAAGUUGGGGUAAAACCCGAUGGAGGACCGAACCGACCCCCGUUGAAACGUUGGCGGAUGAGUUGUGGCUAGGGGUGAAAUUCCAAUCGAACCCGGAGAUAGCUGGUUCUCCCCGAAAUAGCUUUAGGGCUAGCGUCGAGAGAAGAGUUGCGUGAAGGUAGAGCACUGAAUAUGUGAUGGCCCCAUCUCGGGGUACUGAGCAUAAUCAAACUGCGAAUGUCACGCCAACAUGCUCGGCAGUCAGACAGCGGGUGAUAAGGUCCGUUGUCAAGAGGGAAACAGCCCAGACCAUCAGCUAAGGUCCCAAAAUGUAUGCUAAGUGGAAAAGGAUGUGGAGAUGUACAGACAACUAGGAGGUUGGCUCAGAAGCAGCCAUCCUUUAAAGAGUGCGUAACAGCUCACUAGUCGAAUGACUCUGCGCCGAUAAUUUACCGGGGCUAAGCAUACUACCGAAGCUAUGGAUCCCAAGGGAUGGUAGGGGAGCGUUCCAUGAACGGAGAAGUACGACCGAAAGGACGUGUGGAGAUCAUGGAAGAGAGAAUGCCGGUGUGAGUAGCGGAACGUGGGUGAGAAUCCCACGCACCGAAAACCCAAGGUUUCCAGAGGAAGGUUCGUCCGCUCUGGGUAAGUCGGGACCUAAGGCGAGGCCGAAAGGCGUAGUCGAUGGACAACAGGUAGAGAUUCCUGUACCCGUAUAUAUGUGAAGGAAUGACGGAGAGAGGAAGCUGCAGCCAGCGGCUGGAAGAGCUGGUGCAAGCGAGAUAUCGGGAUGGCAGGCAAAUCCACCAUCCGAAACGAGAAGGCGUGAAGCGUACGGAAAGCUACGGCGAGUACGGAAGGCAGUGGAGGAACUUCCAAGAAAAGUUUCUAACGUUAAGUAUAUAUGGCCCGUACCGAAAAUGGACACACAUGGGUGAGGAGAGAAUCCUAAGGUGAGCGAGAGAACUAUAGCUAAGGAACUCUGCAAAAUGACUCCGUAACUUAGGGAGAAGGAGUGCUCAUAGAGAUAUGAGCCGCAGUGAAACGGCCCAAGCGACUGUUUACCAAAAACACAGCUCUCUGCUAAGCCGCAAGGCGAAGUAUAGGGGGUGACGCCUGCCCGGUGCUGGAAGGUUAAGGGGAGGGGUUAACGCAAGUGAAGCCCUGAACUGAAGCCCCAGUAAACGGCGGCCGUAACUAUAACGGUCCUAAGGUAGCGAAAUUCCUUGUCAGGUAAGUUCUGACCCGCACGAAAGGCGUAACGAUUUGGGCGCUGUCUCAGCUGUAGACUCGGUGAAGUCUUAGUACCUGUGAAGAUGCAGGUUACCCGCGACUAGACGGAAAGACCCCAUGGAGCUUCACUGCAGGUUGAUAUUGGGAUUUGAUGCAGCAUGUACAGGAUAGGUAGGAGGCAAAGAGAUGGAUACGCCAGUAUUCAAGGAGCCGCUGUUGGGAUACUACCCCUGUUGUAUUGGAUUUCUAACCGGACGACGUAGAGCCGUUGACGGGACAGUGUCAGUCGGGCAGUUUGACUGGGGCGGUCGCCUCCCAAAGAGUAACGGAGGCGCCCAAAGAUACCCUCAGCUUGGAUGGAAACCAAGCGCAGAGUGCAAAGGCAAAAGGGUGUUUGACUGCGAGA